rnacentral:rRNA from 1 species
CAGAGGGUGCAAGCGUUAAUCGGAUUUACUGGGCGUAAAGCGUGUGUAGGUGGUUGGGAAAGUCAAUUGUGAAAUCCCCGGGCUUAACUCGGGAACUGCUUUUGAUACUGUCUGACUAGAAUUCGGUAGAGGGAGGCGGAACUCCAGGUGUAGCGGUGAAAUGCGUAGAUAUCUGGAAGAACACCAAUGGCGAAGGCAACCUCCUGGGCCUGAAUUGACACUGAGACACGAAAGCGUGGGGAUCAAACAGGAUUAGAUACCCUGGUAGUCCACGCCGUAAACGAUGACAACUUGACGUCGGUUUGCUCUGCGAAUCGGUGUCGUAGCUAACGCGAUAAGUUGUCCGCCUGGGGAGUACGGCCGCAAGGUUG